rnacentral:lncRNA from 1 species
GAGGCCUCCCCGUUCGCCUCCCAGAGGCCGCCACUUUCUUCAGGGCUAUCAGAUGAAGGCAGCAACGAAAACACCACCACAAGACCAACUUCAGGCUGGAGCUGAUGAUGCCACACAGCAAAUCAGCGAGAAAAAAGGUAUAAUAUUAGGCAGAAACCCAAUAUAAAAAGAAAAGCAGAGUUGUUGUAGAUUCAUCGAGGGUUGGCGACCUGGUUCCAAUGAGCCAUCUCCCUGUUCCGACAGGGGCUUCCUGGAGCUCCUGCAACCCCAGGCAUUAGUUCCGGUGCAGUUCUAGGAUCAGAUCAAUUCACUCGACAACAAGAGAAACAAAUGGAGAUUCCUACACAAAGACUUUCAAGCACAAAGAAAUCCUGCUGCCUGUAAAGCGGAGCUGCCUCAGCCCUUGAUGAACGACAGAAAAUCUCACAUUCCAGGAAUUCAGAUGAAGUGAAGUGCUCUCAUGGGGACCAGGCAUGGUUAUGCCAGUCCACUGCCCUGCAAGCCUCAAGGGAAGCCAACUGCCCUUCAGCAAGUCACACCUGCCUUGGUGGAGGCCUUGAUUGGAAGUGCCACACGCUACAUGUCCAGUCCUGAGCGGGAGAAUCGGUGUAGGGACGUUCUGGGGAUGCCAGCUGUGGCCAGAUCAGGUCCAACUACAGAAGAAUAAUGAAGACUCCACCUGAGGGCUGGAAAAACAAAACCUCAAGUGUGAGGCAGCCAACCUGUUACCUCGAGGGACUGUUCCGCAGCACAGCGGGGCCAUGGGAACAGCAGCAGACACCCCGACCUCCUCGCUACCUAUCAACUAUGGCCUGAGUAUGAUAGACUUAUCCAUGGUUUAAACAGAAUAUAUUGUUUUCAACUUUGAAAAUAAGAAUAUGGAAAUCCAGAUGCAGAAAUGUGAGAAGAAAAGAGAGUAAACAGAGUGGAAGGUCAGGUGACCUUGCCUGUCAUGAAUAUGAAGGUCAAGGUGUGUGAAUUGUGAAAUUUCCAAGAGAACCUCACUGAAGCAAAGAAUGAAGAAAGAAUUGCAUUUGGCCCUGGGAGGGUGCAGGGGUGAAUGGUGCAGGAGCUAAAUCUUUAUCAUACCCAGAAAUCAACAGCCACUAUUUGAAAUCAUCUAAAUUCGUGCUGCUAACCUUCAGUGUACACACGAAUCACCUGGGGAUCUUACUAAAAGCUAGUUUCUGAUUCACUAAA